AGGAGCAUAACUCAAUAGUGGAGCAGCGGUCUCCGAACCAUUGGUUGUGGGUUCGAGUCCUACUGCCCCUG
rnacentral:tRNA from 1 species